rnacentral:rRNA from 1 species
AUGAACGCUGGCGGCGUGCCUAAUACAUGCAAGUCGAGCGAACAGACGAGGAGCUUGCUCCUUUGACGUUAGCGGCGGACGGGUGAGUAACACGUGGAUAACCUACCUAUAAGACUGGGAUAACUUCGGGAAACCGGAGCUAAUACCGGAUAACAUGUUGAACCGCAUGGUUCAACAGUGAAGGACGGUCUUGCUGUCACUUAUAGAUGGAUCCGCGCCGCAUUAGCUAGUUGGUAAGGUAACGGCUUACCAAGGCAACGAUGCGUAGCCGACCUGAGAGGGUGAUCGGCCACACUGGAACUGAGACACGGUCCAGACUCCUACGGGAGGCAGCAGUAGGGAAUCUUCCGCAAUGGGCGAAAGCCUGACGGAGCAACGCCGCGUGAGUGAAGAAGGUCUUCGGAUCGUAAAACUCUGUUAUUAGGGAAGAACAAAUGUGUAAGUAACUAUGCACGUCUUGACGGUACCUAAUCAGAAAGCCACGGCUAACUACGUG